GACGAACGCUGGCGGCGUGCCUAAUACAUGCAAGUAGAACGCACAGUUUAUACCGUAGCUUGCUACACCAUAGACUGUGAGUUGCGAACGGGUGAGUAACGCGUAGGUAACCUGCCUGGUAGCGGGGGAUAACUAUUGGAAACAAUAGCUAAUACCGCAUAAUAUUAAUUAUUGCAUGAUAAUUAAUUGAAAGGUGCAAUUGCACCACUACCAGAUGGACCUGCGUUGUAUUAGCUAGUAGGUGAGGUAACGGCUCACCUAGGCGACGAUACAUAGCCGACCUGAGAGGGUGAUCGGCCACACUGGGACUGAGACACGGCCCAGACUCCUACGGGAGGCAGCAGUAGGGAAUCUUCGGCAAUGGACGAAAGUCUGACCGAGCAACGCCGCGUGAGUGAAGAAGGGUUUCGGAUCGUAAAGCUCUGUUGUAAGAGAAGAACGGGUGUGAGAGUGGAAAGUUCACACUGUGACGGUAUCUUACCAGAAAGGGACGGCUAACUACGUG
rnacentral:rRNA from 1 species